UUAGUUGCCAGCAUUCAGUUGGGCACUCUAAGGUGACUGACCGGCUAAAAGUCGGAGAAGGUGGGGAUGACGUCAAAUCAUCAUGCCCUUAUGACCUGGGCUACACACGUGCUACAAUGGGCGGUACAAAGGGUCGCGAACCCGCGAGGGGGAGCCAAUCCCAAAAAGCCGCUCUCAGUUCGGAUUGCAGGCUGCAACUCGCCUGCAUGAAGCCGGAAUCGCUAGUAAUCGCGGAUCAGCAUGCCGCGGUCAUCGGUUCCGGCCUU
rnacentral:rRNA from 1 species